UACGGAGGGGGCAAGCGUUGUUCGGAUUUACUGGGCGUAAAGGGCGCGUAGGCGGCUUUGUAAGUUACUUGUGAAAUCUCCGGGCUUAACUCGGAACGGCCAAGUAAUACUGCAGAGCUAGAGUGCAGAAGGGGCAACUGGAAUUCUUGGUGUAGCGGUGAAAUGCGUAGAUAUCAAGAGGAACACCUGAGGCGAAGGCGGGUUGCUGGGCUGACACUGACGCUGAGGCGCGAAAGCUAGGGGAGCAAACAGG
rnacentral:rRNA from 1 species